GCCCCUGUGGUGGAACGGGUAGACACGCCGUCUCGAGAGGGCGGUGCGUAGGCGUGGGGGUUCGAAUCCCUCCGGGGGCA
rnacentral:tRNA from 1 species